rnacentral:rRNA from 1 species
CAGUAGCCACGGUAAUACGAAGGGGGCUAGCGUUGUUCGGAUUUACUGGGCGUAAAGCGCACGUAGGCGGACUUUUAAGUCAGGGGUGAAAUCCCGGGGCUCAACCCCGGAACUGCCUUUGAUACUGGAAGUCUUGAGUAUGGUAGAGGUGAGUGGAAUUCCGAGUGUAGAGGUGAAAUUCGUAGAUAUUCGGAGGAACACCAGUGGCGAAGGCGGCUCACUGGACCAUUACUGACGCUGAGGUGCGAAAGCGUGGGGAGCAAACAGGAUUAGAUACCCCUGUAGUCCCUGUCUCUUAUAC